UCUGGUUGAUCCUGCCAGUAGUCAUAUGCUUGUCUCAAAGAUUAAGCCAUGCAUGUGUAAGUAUAAGUAUUGUACAGCGAAACUGCGAAUGGCUCAUUAAAACAGUUAUAGUUUAUUUGAUACUUGAAAGUUACAUGGAUAACCGUGGCAAUUCUACAGCUAAUACAUGCUUCAAAACCCGACUUUACGGAAGGGUUGUAUUUAUUAGAUAUUAAACCAUCCCUUCGGGGCUGUGAUGAAUCAUAAUAACUGAUCGAAUCGAGGUUUACCUUGAUAAAUCAUUCAAGUUUCUGCCCUAUCAGCUUUAGAUGGUAGUGUAUUGGACUACCAUGGCUAUCACGGGUAACGGAGAAUUAGGGUUCGAUUCCGGAGAGGGAGCCUGAGAAACGGCUACCACAUCUAAGGAUGGCAGCAGGCGCGAAAAUUGCCCAAUCCCGAUUCGGGGAGGCAGUGACAAGAAAUAACAACCCAGGACUAGUUCCAGGGAUUGCAAUGAGAACAACUUAAAAACCUUAUCGAGCAACAACUGGAGGGCAAGUUCUGGUGCCAGCAGCCGCGGUAAUUCCAGCUCCAGUAGCGUAUAUUAAAGUUGCUGCAGUUAAAAAGCUCGUAGUUGAAUUUCUGCUUGUUAGAGUCAAGUCCUCGCGGAUGAGAUUUCUUCGAGCAUCUGUUUGCAAACAUAUGUUCGGUCUUUAUUGAUUGGCUAUGUGAGCAAACGUUUUACCUUGAGAAAAUUAGAGUGUUCCAGGCAGGCUUCAGCCGGAAUACAUUAGCAUGGAAUAAUGGAAUAGGACUGGGGACUAUUUUUGGUUUGAGGCUCCAGUAAUGAUUAAUAGGAACAGUCGGGGGCAUUAGUACUUGACAGUCAGAGGUGAAAUUCUUGGAUUUGUCAAAGACUAACUAAUGCGAAAGCAUUUGCCAAGCAUGUUUUCAUUAAUCAAGAACGAAAGUUAGGGGAUCAAAGACGAUUAGAUACCGUCCUAGUCUUAACUGUAAACGAUUCCAUCUUGGAAUUGGGUGGAUAUAUUAUGAUUCAUCCAGCGCCAUAAGAGAAAUCAAAGUCUUUGGGUUCUUGGUGGAGUACGAUCGCAAGAUUGAAACUUAAAGGAAUUGACGGUUUUGCACACCAUGGAGUGGAGCCUGUGGCUUAAUUUGACCCAACACUGGGAAACUCAUCAGGACAAAAAGAAAAAGUACUCUGCGUUUGGCCGCUCGU
rnacentral:rRNA from 1 species